AGGCACUGGCCUGGUACUGUCUACAGGAUCUGAGGUCUCAAAAAGACCUCCAAUAUGAACACCCUCCUUGUUUUAGCUGUGGGGAACUGAGGCUCAGCGUGUGCUGGAACUUCUCCACUGGUAUCGUGCCACCGCACUCCAGCCUGGGUGACAGAGCAAGACUCCAUCUCAAAAACAACAAAAACAAAAACUUCUCCACUGGACUCCCAGACUCCCACUAUUCAUGAGUACUUGUCAAAACUGAUGCCUCUGCAAAAGAAUAACAGUAGAAAGCUUCUAUUCUGUCAACUUGCUGACAUCCCAAAGCUGGUUUAUUAAGAAUGUCAUGCUUUGUAUAUAAUAUUGAUAAUAAAAACAAUAAAUAAUUUGUUUUGAG
rnacentral:lncRNA from 1 species